GGACCCGCACAAGCGGUGGAGCAUGUGGUUUAAUUCGAUGCAACGCGAAAAACCUUACCUACUCUUGACAUCCUGCGAAUCUCUUGGAAACGAGAGAGUGCCUUCGGGAACGCAGUGACAGGUGGUGCAUGGCUGUCGUCAGCUCGUGUCGUGAGAUGUUGGUUAAGUCCCGCAACGAGCGCAACCCACGUCUUUAGUUGCCAGCAUUUAGUUGGGCACUCUAGAGAGACUGCCGGUGAUAAACCGGAGGAAGGUGUGGAUGACGUCAAGUCAUCAUGCCCCUUACAUCCUGGGCUACACACGUACUACAAUGGUCGGUACAGAAAGCAGCCACUAUGCGAAUAGGAG
rnacentral:rRNA from 1 species